AGCCAUGCCAGCCUACCCAAAUGUGAGUUCUUGCUAUUGAGGUAACCUACAGGAACUGAAGGAGCAAGAACCAUCCUCAAGGGAGCCCCAGGAGAUCAAAUGUCACGAUCGAGUCAUCACUGAGCCUGGGGUGGUCUUGAAUUGCAGUUGAUUCCAGCAGGAAGGGAGCAAUGAGAUCCCCCCACCACAGUGGAACACUGGCACUGAUGCCAAGGUGGAGUAUUUUUGCAAGCUGGGGCAGAUGGGCAGAGCCUACAUCUGGAAGGCCAACAGUCGACAGAAAAAUCACACCCAGCAGCUGGUCCCCAAGGAUGCUUUUGUAACUUUCUGGUCUCAAGGGCUCUGCAUACGAAGCCCAAAGCUCCCGCAUAGUACUGUCAGACGCACAAGGACAAAAAACACCCAGCAUUAACCCUAACACCCAGCCUUGUCGUUGUGCCAUCAGGGAUGUCUUUAACAUCAGCGUUAACAACCAGCCCAAGUAAAACAUCACCACAGCUGCACCAAGACAAGGGGUGGGCAUGGAAGCGAGGGAGAAGAGACCUCUGUCUGUGGGCAGUUUCACUUGGUCUCUUGAAAGGAUGUAUUUCCUUGGUCCUAAAUGGGAUUUGCUUUAGCUC
rnacentral:lncRNA from 1 species